rnacentral:rRNA from 1 species
AUUGAACGCUGGCGGCAGGCCUCACACAUGCAAGUCGAGCGGAGCGGCGGACGGGUGAGUAAUGCCUAGGAAUCUGCCUGGUAGUGGGGGAUACCGUCCGGUAACGGGCGCUAAUACCGCAUACUAUCAGAUGAGCCUGGGUCGGAUUAGCUAGUUGGUGGGGUACAGGCCUACCAAGGCGACGAUCCGUAACUGGUCUGAGAGGAUGAUCAGUCAGCCUGUAACUGAGAGACGGUCCAGAGUCCUACGGGAGGCAGCAGUGGGGAAUAGUGGACAAUGGGCGAAAGCCGGAUCCAGCCAUGCCGCGUGGGUGAAGAAGGUCUUCGGAUUGUAAAGCACUUAAAGUUGGGAGUCGUUGCCAACAGAAUAAGCACCGGCUAACUUCGUGCCAGCAGCCGCGGUAAUUC